AGCCCUAAUUUAUAGAGUUACGAAGUUGUAUACUACUAAAGCAAGUAACACAUGAAAUAAACCACCUUCCUAAUAUGGGUACACAUAAAAAAAAUGAAAAUAUUGUACCAAAAAAUAAGUGCAGGUUUCUAUAAUUUCCAUAUGAAGUAGUAAAAACAAGAUAUGGGGACUUAUAGCGUCAUUAAGGGAAUGGCCCUUAAUAGAACUGAAUGGCAAACCAUGAUUCAUGUAGCCGACUGAGAAAAGGCUUUGAUGAUGAUGACAAUAAUGAUCAGUGCUUUAAAUACAAGACUCGAUCCCCUGCUAUGCUAAGCCGGAUUCUGAUCCAGCUUGAGCAAGUCGACCCACCCCAUAGUAGAAUGGUCCUAAAAAAAAAAGCUAAAACCAUCAAAAACAAAUCCUAAAAAUAGUAUUUAUGUAGUUUCACACAUAAAUUGAUGAGCAUGAUACUUAUCAUGGAUAUGAUACUAAUUACAAUAUUAUAUAAAGUUAUCAAAAAAUAGCAUUAUUUCAAAUAAAUAGAGUGUAUUUUUAAAAAAAAUAAACAAUGAGAAUCAAAAUUUGGAAUCUAAACAAAUUUUACAAGUAAAAAUUACAAAAGUGCAAAUCAU
rnacentral:lncRNA from 1 species